rnacentral:rRNA from 1 species
CCUACGGGUGGCAGCAGUGAGGAAUAUUGGUCAAUGGGCGGAAGCCUGAACCAGCCAAGUAGCGUGCAGGAUGACGGCCCUACGGGUUGUAAACUGCUUUUAUACGGGAAUAACGCGCCUUACGUGUAGGGCUUUGCAUGUACCGUAUGAAUAAGGACCGGCUAAUUCCGUGCCAGCAGCCGCGGUAAUACGGAAGGUCCGGGCGUUAUCCGGAUUUAUUGGGUUUAAAGGGAGCGUAGGCCGCAUGUCAAGCGUGCUGUGAAAUGUCCGGGCUCAACCCGGGCCUGCCGUCGGAACUGGGUGCCUUGAGUGGGCGAGAAGUAUGCGGAAUGCGUGGUGUAGCGGUGAAAUGCAUAGAUAUCACGCAGAACCCCGAUUGCGAAGGCAGCAUACCGGCGCCCUACUGACGCUGAGGCACGAAAGUGCGGGUAUCGAACAGGAUUAGAUACCCCAGUAGUC